AUUGAACGCUGGCGGCAGGCCUAACACAUGCAAGUCGAGCGAGAGGCGGACGGGUGAGUAAUGUCUGGGAAACUGACUGAUGGAGGGGGCUAUCUACUGGAAACGGUAGCUAAUACCGCAUACCAUCAGAUGUGCCCACAUGGGAGUAGCGAGUAGGUGGGGUAACGGCCCACCUAGACGACGAUCCCUAGCUGGUAUGAGUGGAUGACCAGCCAAACGUGAACGAAGACACUGUCCAGACGCCUACGGGAGGCAGCAGUGGGGAAUAUUGCACAAUGGGCGCAAGCCUGAUGCAGCCAGGCCGCGUGUGGGAAGAAGGCCUUCGGGUUGUAAAGCACUUUCAGCGGGGAGGCGUUACCCGCAGAAGAAGCACCGGCUAACUCCGUGCCAGCAGCCGAGGUAAUUC
rnacentral:rRNA from 1 species